CAGUAGCCGCGGGAAUACGUAGGGUGCAAGCGUUAAUCGGAAUUACUGGGCGUAAAGCGUGCGCAGGCGGUUAUAUAAGACAGAUGUGAAAUCCCCGGGCUCAACCUGGGAACUGCAUUUGUGACUGUAUAGCUAGAGUACGGCAGAGGGGGAUGGAAUUCCGCGUGUAGCAGUGAAAUGCGUAGAUAUGCGGAGGAUCACCGAUGGCGAAGGCAAUCCCCUGGGCCUGUACUGACGCUCAUGCACGAAAGCGUGGGGAGCAAACAGGAUUAGAGACCCCUGUAGUCCCUGUCUCUUAUAC
rnacentral:rRNA from 1 species